rnacentral:rRNA from 1 species
UACGUAGGGGGCAAGCGUUAUCCGGAAUUACUGGGUGUAAAGGGUGCGUAGGUGGUAUGGCAAGUCAGAAGUGAAAACCCAGGGCUUAACUCUGGGACUGCUUUUGAAACUGUCAGACUGGAGUGCAGGAGAGGUAAGCGGAAUUCCUAGUGUAGCGGUGAAAUGCGUAGAUAUUAGGAGGAACAUCAGUGGCGAAGGCGGCUUACUGGACUGAAACUGACACUAAGGCACGAAAGCGUGGGGAGCAAACAGG